rnacentral:rRNA from 1 species
UACGUAGGGGGCGAGCGUUGUCCGGAGUUACUGGGCAUAAAGGGCAUGCAGGCGGUCGGACGCGUUUUGUGUGACAGCGGGUGGCUCAACUACCCGAGCAUGCGAAAGACGGUCGGACUUGAGGACUCGAGAGGGACACGGAAUUCCGGGUGGAGUGGUGAAAUGCGUAGAGAUCCGGAGGAACACCGAAGGCGAAGGCAGUGUCCUGGCGAGUGACUGACGCUGAGGUGCGAAAGCCAGGGGAGCGAACGGG